AUCAAAAAUCGCUUACGAAAGAAUAUAAGCGCAGUGCUUUUAGGUGGAGGUUUACAGUAGAUUGUCAAAAAACUGCAGAACUGAUAAGAUGCGGUCCAUGGGAUACAAUACUUAUGGUAUAAUCAGGGAAGUGACAAAAACACGCAGUAUAGGAAAACUGGGGUAGGGCCAAGACUGUACCAUUAGAAGCUCCCCAGCUCUAUCCUUACAAAUAAAAUAAUUAUCAGUAUUGGGUCAUUCAAGAAAACAUCCAUACCACCCCCACGGAGGAAAUUGGAAGUUAACCCUCCUACCCCCUUCGGAUGUCCUAAUACAUUUACUAUUAUCAGAAACAAUUUUGUCUCCCCUCCCCCUCCGGACGGCAGAAAUUUCCUCUGUGGGGGGAGUGUGGAUCUUUUCUGGAACGACCCAUUACACCAGACACCAAUAAACAAUUUUCCAGCUUCUGCUAAACAUUUUCUUUCAAUGUUUUUUAACCCAUUGAGUGUCAGCAGUCUCCCCCUGAUGAGUAAAUAGUCCAGUAUUACACAGCAAAAUAAUCUGGCGUUAGGCAGAGUAAAAUAAUAGACAACUGGUUGAUCAUUUGAGCAUAGAUAACUGGUUGAUCAGUAUAAAUCCUUGCAAUGCAUCACACAGUAGUCAAUACAUUUAUAUAUAGUGUUGCGAUAGUGUUGAAUUUCCUCCCGAUUUCAUUCUUUACAACAAUGCUACCACUGGGCGCUUCUUCCAUCAUUCGGUGUGUAUGAAUGUCUGUCAGGGCAAACAGGGUUUAUUGGUAAAUUAAAACAGUUAUACAAUCAGUUGGCUGAUGUAAUUCUAUUGGUGGAAGUACACUAUCCAGCUCAUCAUCUUGACUAUCUGGGUCACAUGGCGGGAUUGCUUGGGAUGUUGGUGAUGUUGAAAUGUCAAACUCCCACAACAUAACAUUGCUAUAUUCUUUGUUUAUACCUCCUUCCCGUAGAUCAUUAGGGUCGAAGAACUACA
rnacentral:lncRNA from 1 species